CAUGAACGCUGGCGGCAGGCCUAACACAUGCAAGUCGAACGGAUCCUUCGGGAUUAGUGGCGGACGGGUGAGUAACGCGUGGGAACAUACCCUUUGGUACGGAAUAGCCCCGGGAAACUGGGAGUAAUACCGUAUGUGGUCGAGAGACGAAAGAUUUAUCGCCAAAGGAUUGGCCCGCGUUGGAUUAGGUAGUUGGUGGGGUAAUGGCCUACCAAGCCGACGAUCCAUAGCUGGUUUGAGAGGAUGAUCAGCCACACUGGGACUGAGACACGGCCCAGACUCCUACGGGAGGCAGCAGUGGGGAAUCUUAGACAAUGGGGGAAACCCUGAUCUAGCCAUGCCGCGUGAUCGAUGAAGGCCUUAGGGUUGUAAAGAUCUUUCAGGUGGGAAGAUAAUGACUGUACCACCAGAAGAAGCCCCGGCUAACUCCGUGCCAGCCGCCGCCGUAAGAC
rnacentral:rRNA from 1 species